UUUUACAUCCUUCGUUUCUUCACUUUUUUUUUUUUGUCUAUGGUUCAUUUUCCUUUAAUUUCUUUCUUCUUUUUUUUCAACUUUUGUGACAAUAAUUAUGUGAUUAGAUGACGAAAAAUGAUUAUUUAACACACCUAAAUUUUUUACAUUCAUUUGAUACUAUCUUUACUUACUUUUUAUUUGUUUCUUUUUUACUCUUAUAUUUUGUGUCAAA
rnacentral:lncRNA from 1 species